UGAUAUCUCAAAACCUCUUUCCUCUUAAUAUAUAUUUAAAAGGUCUCACUCCAUAAAUCAUUUCUCAGCCACUAGUUGUUAUUUAUUUUUCGUCUGGGAUAUUUUUGGCUUGGACUCAUCAUUCUAGUCUACUAAUUUCACUCUAAACUAAGGUAUGUAUGUCAGAUUUCGUGACCGUCUACACGUAUUCGGUUAUCUCAGUUUUGUGAUCAUCGCUUAAGGUUAUCAAGACAAUCUGGGACGGGAUAUAGAACAGUGCUCGAGUAUAU
rnacentral:lncRNA from 1 species